ensembl:misc_RNA Metazoa_SRP Metazoan signal recognition particle RNA
GCCAGGUGCAGUGGCGCAUGCCUGUAGUCCCGGUUACUCGGGAGGCUAAGGUGGGAGGAUCACUUGAGCCCAGGAGUUCUGGGCUGUAGUGUGCUAUGCUAAUCGGGUGUCUGCGCUAAGUUCGGCAUUAAUAUGGUGACCUCCCAAGGGCGGGGGACCGCCAGGUUGGAAACGGAGCAGGUCAAAACUCCUGUGCUGAUCAGUAGUGGGAUUGCGCCUGUGAAUAGCCACUGCACUCCAGCCUGGACAACAUAGCGAAACUCUGUCUCU